UACGUAGGGUGCGACGUGAUUGAAUCGAAUCUGGGCGUAAAGCGUGCGCAGGCGGUUUUGUAAGCCAGAUGUGAAAUCCCCGGGCUUAACCUGGGAAUGGCAUUUGGGACUGCAAGGCUUGAGUGCGGCAGAGGAGACUGGAAUUCCUGGUGUAGCAGUGAAAUGCGUAGAUAUCAGGAGGAACACCGAUGGCGAAGGCAGGUCUCUGGGCUGACACUGACGCUCAUGCACGAAAGCGUGGGGAGCAAACAGG
rnacentral:rRNA from 1 species